rnacentral:rRNA from 1 species
GACGAACGCUGGCGGCGUGCUUAACACAUGCAAGUCGAACGUGAUUUUUGUGGAAAGCCCUUCGGGGACGGAAAUGAAAUGAAAGUGGCGAACGGGUGAGUAACACGUGAGCAACCUACCUUACACAGGGGGAUAGCCGUUGGAAACGACGAUUAAUACCGCAUGAGACCACAAAGCCACAUGGCUUAGGGGUAAAAGAUUUAUCGGUGUAAGAUGGGCUCGCGUCUGAUUAGCUAGUUGGAAGGGUAAAGGCCUACCAAGGCAACGAUCAGUAGCCGGUCUGAGAGGAUGAACGGCCACAUUGGAACUGAGACACGGUCCAAACUCCUACGGGAGGCAGCAGUGGGGAAUAUUGCACAAUGGGGGGAACCCUGAUGCAGCGACGCCGCGUGAGCGAAGAAGGUUUUCGAAUCGUAAAGCUCUGUCCUAUGAGAAGAUAAUGACGGUAUCAUAGGAGGAAGCCCCGGCUAAAUACGUGCCAGCAGCCGCGGUAAUACGUAUGGGGCGAGCGUUGUCCGGAAUUAUUGGGCGUAAAGGGUACGUAGGCGGCCUUUUAAGUCAGGUGUGAAAGCGUGAGGCUUAACCUCAUUAAGCACUUGAAACUGGAAGGCUUGAGUGAAGGAGAGGAAAGUGGAAUUCCUAGUGUAGCGGUGAAAUGCGUAGAUAUUAGGAGGAAUACCGGUGGCGAAGGCGACUUUCUGGACUUUUACUGACGCUCAGGUACGAAAGCGUGNGGAGCAAACAGG